GAAUGGGCCCGAACGAUGAGGUGUUACGGUCUGGUUGGCUACUACAACCACACCUUGGCUGACUCUCAGAAACACUCCCAAGCAAAAGAUGUCCAUGGACAUUUUCCAGGGCUUUGCUUAACCAGCAGUGCAUCAAACUUCAACACCUCAGCUAUCACUCACAGAUUCGAUGGAGCCAAGUUUUAUGGCAUCUUUCAGAACGCGUCCCUUAUGCUGUCCUUUGGGGUCCUCUUAUCUGAGCCUGGAAAUCAACACAAUUUGCAACUAAGCAUUUUUGGCUAUAAAAAGGGAAGCAGCAGCAGUUGUGGACACAUUCGGACAAGGAAAAAUACCAUCAUGAGGAGUCUGUUGGUUUUGCUCUUCUUGGCUGUGGCCAACGCCAAAAUCUUCGAGCGCUGUGAAUGGGCGCGCACGCUCAAGGCUAACGGCAUGGACGGCUACUAUGGAAUCAGCCUUGCCGACUGGGUUUGCCUCACCCGAUGGGAGUCAAACUAUAACACCAUGGCCAAAAACACCAACAAUGAUGGAUCCACCGACUUUGGCAUCUUUCAAAUUAACAGCUACUGGUGGUGCAAUGACUACAUCAUCAACUCGCAUAACGGAUGCAACAUGGACUGCAGUGCGUUUUUGAGCGAUAAUGUCAGUGCAGCAAUCACCUGUGCCAAACGUGUCGUUAGGGAUCCUCAAGGCAUCAGUGCCUGGUAUGGCUGGCGUUCUAACUGUGAUGGCCGUGACCUCAGCUCGUAUGUGAGUGGAUGUGGUGUUUAAUCAGCCCACGGGAACAGGAGGGUCUCGUCCACAUAAUAAGAUGUCCCCGUCUUCUUCUGUUUCUGUAAUUUCUCAAAUUAAUAAACUGAAUUAAAAUCACA